UUAUGUAUUCAUUUUUUAAAACAUGUUUAUGAUAGCAUAACGGUCUACUCUUCGGUGAGAGUGUUGUAUCUGGCUGUUUGGUGAAAUUAUGAACAUGGUUACGUGUAUCUAAUAUUUACUCCUCAUAAUCAAGCAUUAGAACUAGAAAUCAAAAAAAGGCAUAAAUACAAAUUUAUUUAUUUUUUGAAAAAAAUGACCCUCGGAGCUUUUUAUUCACCUAAAUCGCUUCAAUCUAUGAUUUUAAUCCUAAAAAAUAUAGUAAGAGUGGUGAAAAUCUGUUGUUGAAUAAUAUAAGAUUUGAAAGAAAGUUGCGAAGUUAGAAGAGAAGGCACUUGUGUUUGGGAGGAGGGUUAAUGCUAAUUAAGGCGGCAAUGUCUAACCUACAAGUCUACUACAUGCCCUUAUUUAAGUAUCCGAAAGUGGUGGUGGAGAAGCUUGAAAAAAUUAGGCGGGAUUUCUUGUGGAAGGGGGCAAAACAAAAGCAUAAGUUUCAUCUUAUAAAGUGGGAUGAAGUGUGUUAGCUAUGGGAUCAAGGAGGAGCCGGUCUUAGGGUCUUGGGAGAGAUGAAUUUAGCGUUCUUGGUGGAUUAAGGGAUCAUUGUUGUAUCGGGCAUUGUUUCUUUGGAAAGCGGUGGCCUUGCUAAAAAAUUAGGUUUGGGAAGGAGUGGGGGUUUCUUUGGGUAAUGGUGAGGGGUUCAGAUUUUGGGAGGAUGUUUGGCUACAUGAUAAAAAAUUGAGGGAGUUGCUCCCCCUUUUAGCAGGGAUUUUGCAAGAGGUUAACUUGUGAGUGGCAAGGUGCUAUUCUUUCCAAGGAGAUGAAGUUAUUUGGGCUCCUCCUUGUAGGAGAAACUUAAAUGAAGAACCGGUAGAGGAGUUGUUGAGAUUGUUGGAAAUGUUGUGCUAGGCAUGCCCUUUGGUCUUACAAAGAGAUUUGAUGUGGUGAUUAGAAGAAAAGUCCAGCAAGUUUUUAGUUAAAUCUAUCUACCAAAUGAUUAGUUGCAGGUUAAAUGUCAACGGGGUUAGUCACACAGCUUAUGCUUUGGAGAUAUGGCACUCCUCUGAAGAUGGCUGCUAGCUUGGCUAGUGUGAACUGUGAAGUAACAAAGUGCCUACAGUCGACAAUUUGUGCAAGAGAAAAAUGAUUCUUCUGAAUGUGUUUUAUGUGUUACCAGGAUGAGGAAUCAGUGAAUCAUCUUUUCAUUCAUUGCAUAGUGGUAAAGAAAGUAUGGGAGGGAUUUCUUGGCAUAUGUGGUUCUCGGUGGGUCAUGCCGUGUUCCAUAGACUCUUUCUUUUUGUCUUGGCAUGGUGGGGGUAAAGGGUAGAUCAACAUGGCUAAAGAGCUUAUCAUGGAAUGGGCGAUCAAACCAAAGGCUAUCGUGGCAUAUCAGUUUCCUUAAAAUUGGGCAGAUUUUUGUAGCGUUUUUUUCUUCUUCUUUUUUUUUUUUAAAAAAAAAAAACCUUUUUCUUGUAAUUCUUUAGGCUUUGGCCUCUUUGCAAUAAAAUCAUCAAAGUUCAAGAAAAAAAAAAGAAGAAGAAAAGAGAAGAAAGAGAAAUAAAUACCUCCCACCUAUUGCAAUUUAACAUGUACAUUGUAAGUGUACCAAAUAUGACUAGAGGCUACAUGAUAAAUAAAGAGACUAGGUGGGCCGUACAACUUUACGGUCCUUAUUACUAUCAUCCAGGUGGGCUAUACGAUUGUACGCUCACAUUCAUCAACAUUAACAUAAUUGAUGCAUGCGGGUUUCUUCUUCUUCUGUUUGCAGUAAUUUUUGUUUGUUUUAAUUAGUUUAUGCAUGUUUAAUCUCCUUCAAUGUGACAAACAAUUGAUUUUCAUGUUUAGUUCGAAGUUACAAUCUGAUGGUAGUAAUCGGUCACUCUGAUCUUUCCCUCUCCAUCUUUGUUUUGGUGAUUCUCUUUUUGUUGAGCUAGAAUUUAUCUCCCCUUUUAAUGUUUUUUAAUACCCUUUUCUAUUGAAUGUGAUGUCCAUGAUUUUGAUUAUGAUGAUGGUAGUGGUGAAUAUGGUUAUGAUGAUAAUAUUGGACUAUGAUGAAGAGCGUAGCAUUGCGAUGUGCAUGUUGGGCAGCAAGGAGGGGGAUGAUGUGGGCCUUCUCCACCCCACCCCCUGCUCUCUCUCUCCUCGUUUCCAAAUGUGGUAGUGAUCAAUUGUUGGAAUUGUAUAUAGUGGCUGGAAUUUAUCAUUUAUUGUUUAUCUCUACUGCUAUUAUUUUUCAGAUUCAUGAUGAAAGUCAGGCCCUUGAUUGAGUGGAAUGGCUGAACAUUAUCCAUGUAGCCAUGGGAGAGGGUAUAGAUGAUUACGACGACAAUCUCUGCCGCUAUUGGAUUUUCUGCUUAAGUUCUGAAAAUGUGUUAGUCAUGAGUUUUGGUGUUGAUGAAGAUAGAAUGUGGCUUUUGGUUUAAGGCUCCAUAUUUGAUUUGCAGCUUCUUGUUUUGACAAUUAAAGAGCUUUAAUUGCCCUUUUCAAGAAUUUUCACUUCUAUUCUUCAUAUGCCUAGUUGGUUUGCUGUUCACUGUGGGCUUCUAUCCUUGAAUCCUUCAGCUCGUGGGAGUGAAUUUGGUGGUGCUAUGCUUGCCAUGAGUGGUGGGGUUUUGCUGGGCAGUAUCCUAUCAAAUUCCAUGGUUUUAAGUUGUGGUGCAGAAUUGCAGGCCAGUAACAUCCCCAAGGAUCUGUUCUAAUUUUGAUUGUUUCAUAGAGUUUGGUUGUUAUCAUCAAAUCGAAUUGCCCCAUGUGUUAUUUGUAUGGGCUGCUCAGAUGUCAGACACUGUUUUGGUGAUUCAUGCCUUGCAGCAUCUUUUGGUUUUCGAAUUGAUGCAGUUGGAGCCGGUUUCUUUCUUUCUUUAUUUUCUUCUCUUUUUUUAUUAGCUGAGUGCAGAUGAUGUCCAAUGUUAAUGGUCAAUCUAUGCAUUAGUGGCUAGUUGUUGCCGUCUGCUCGGGAUAGUUUAUUUUGCAGUGGAUUCAUUGAUGGAGACUAGGUGCAGGCCAGUGGCAGCUUGAUUUUUCUCCAAUUUUCGGUGCAUCCAUGGCCUUCUGAUGUUGUUUUGGCGAUGUCUUAGAUAUGGGCAUUUUGUCUAACUUUCGAGUAGUCAAAAGCAGGUCACUUGUUUAUGCAUUGUCAAUUUGCAAACUUCAUGUGAGAAGCUUUUCCAAUCUCCUUGGUAUAGGUUUAUAUCCAGGGCUAGCAGCAUGUGGAAUUAGGUGCUCUUGCUCGGGUGGUAGACUGUCAGGAGUUUCAACUCCCAGUCAAGGGUUCGAGUACCCAUAGGUGGUGAAAUUCCUCUAGCAUGAGUGUGUGGGGUGUGUGCGUGUGUAAAAAAAAUAAAAAAUGGGGACGGAAAUGCUCAUUGCCACUGUUAUGAUCAUUUUACUAUUAAACUCAACUACUGUGGCUUCCAGUGACCAACCAACUCCUAAUAAUAACAAGUCAUAGGUAGUAGUGGACGAUUCAAAACAACUCUAUCUCACAUCUGUUUGCUCUGCCUGUCUGAUUUUUAUAGGAAAACUCUGCAUGUCCCACUUCCAUGGUGAUUGGAGUAGAUUGAUCUGGAAGAGAUCCUGACUACUCAAGGACCUGUUUGAGUCCAAUCACGAACUGUUUAUGAUGAAUAUAUACAGCUUUGUUACUCAGUUCAGCUCACAUCAAAGCAAGCUUUCUAUUCCUUUCAUUAUUCCUACAUUCCUUGACUGUUGCUCGUUUGCUGAUUUUAUACAGAGAGAAAUUUAAAUCAAUACAGAAGUUAUUAUUUUCAAACCAGAGAUGUUUCUGAUUCAAGUACAAGCGUACAUUUGCGUGCGUUUGACAGAAUUCAUGCAGCCUAGUAGAAAAUUUCCAAGAAGGCUGCAUGCAUGGUAACAUCCAGUUUCUCUGACUACCUCAAUCAAGAAAUAGUUCAGAAUUCUCAGAUUUACUGAAGAACAUGAAAGAAUUCAGGGUUCUUAGAUCAGAUCUACAGCUACAGAUCGAGUACGCCCAGUAACCUACGGACGUGGUCAUCAACGGUGAAGAGAAUAGAAGAAAUCCGAGAAGGCACUUAACGGUACUCUCUCUUUCUCUCUAUUUUUUCUCUUUUGAUGGCCAGAAAUUGGGCAGCAUCCAUGGCAGCGGCAGCCAUGUCCGCCGCUGUCCAUGGCCCCCUACAUGUUUGAAGUAAUGCUUCAACCACGAUUGGUAAACAAAUAGGCCCUCACACCUAAAGCAAAUAUGCUGGCUAGACCUGGGGUACCCUCUUUCGAUUAACUAUUUCAGAACAUUGGAAUCACUUUUUUAUUUUAUUUUAUUUUUUUCCAUCUCUUCUAACCCUAUUGGUGAUUGAACAGAACAUCUGAAUCACUUUUGUUUGAUUGCACAAUGCUUCUCCCUUCCUAUCUGAUUAUACAGCAAACAUCAUUAUGCAUGUCAGCUCAACUUCUCCUCCUUCUCCAUGGAUCUGAAAGAAAUCAGGUCUAGUGGUCUGAUACUAUUAGCUUCUCCACAAUCUAAACAAGUGGACCUCCACCGCAUUUAAAUCUGUUUUUAUAUAUAUUUUUUUAUACCUAGAUUUUUGUCAUAUGAGUGCAGGCUGCAUUUGGCUUGAUUUUUGGGCCAGGGAAUUCACAAUGGGCCCACCUGACAAACAGCCUAGCUCUCUACAUGCGCUCCAUGUUAACACGCAUGCCUAUGAAUCCUGAUGUCUCAGUCUUGUUAGCAGGCCUAUAUAGAGUUAGUCUCAUUUCAACCCCAGUCAUGUUCAAUAUAGUUAUGCUAUGUUUUUGCUAACUUUAUCUUAUUUCAAACCCUUAAAAUGGUUUUAUUGUAUAGUCUUUAUGACACUUGGGUGGGAUUUAAAUUGAUGAGCUGCAGGAUGAAAGUAGAGGGAAAAGAAAUUAGUGCAAAAGCUUCUUGAGUAGCAUCUUAUGCCCUUUUCUUUUUCUCUAAGAAAGGAACAAUCAUAAAUACAUUCCCAUUCUUUACUAGCAGUGUGUGUUCUGAGAUUGAGAUCUAUGAAUUUGAUGUAAAUGAGUGAAACUUAAUCUUGUACACAUGAAUGGUCUUGAGAACUGUUCCUGUACAAGUCUUGGUAGAAUAAGCUUUAUU